GACAGAGGUGCCGAGCGUUAGGCGGAAUCACUGGGCUUAAAGCGUGUGUAGGCGGGCGGGCAAGUACCUUGUGAAAUCCCACGGCUCAACCGUGGAACUGCUGGGUAUACUGCCUGUCUUGAGCCAGCCAGGGGCAGUCGGAACAGACGGUGGAGCGGUGAAAUGCGUAGAUAUCGGAAAGAACACCAACGGCGAAAGCACUCUGCUGGGCCGACACUGACACUGAGAGACGAAAGCUAGGGGAGCGAAUGGG
rnacentral:rRNA from 1 species